rnacentral:lncRNA from 1 species
GGCAGCUUAUACCAUGAAAGCUUAUACACAGGUGCAGGAAGUGCUGGUGGGUGGUUGGUUCAUGUCCAAGCUUAUCGUGUGUAACUAUACAAAAUAGUUCUACUGACUUGUAUCAUGGUUGUUUCCAAGGGCACUGAACAGAACAGAAUAUGUAAUCGAUCUUGCCAUUAGAAAAUUUCCUAGUAAUAACAGAAACACAUGAGAAAGUUUUUUGUUUUUAUCAUGAAAGGCUAGCCAGGUAAGUGUUACCUAGGUUUUAACAUUUCACUUAGGUCUCAACAUUCCAUGUGACAUCGUCACUUUGUCUUUUCUCAAAUUAGAUGCUGCUUUCCAACAUGACUGCUUCCUUCUACAAACUCACUUUACCUUCAUUGUUUGGGAUUAAAUGUGUGCACUAAGUGUGUGCCUAUAUUCCAUCCAGAAGCAUUAAAAGUGUGUCAUUCCAGCUGGAUCCCAUAGACCUAGAAGGCCUUUGGAUGCGAUCCCUUGCCAGAGAGAGCAGCCAUGUUGCUGGAUUAGACUUCCUGUACACGGGUUGCUAAUGUUGUCUUCCUGUGGAGCUGCGCCUUCACAGUCCACACUGUUCUCAGUCCUUCCAAGCCUGUAUAGGACUGCCCGUUAAGCCAUCUUUACAGCAUGCAGUCACUUUCCUACCCCACAGUCUUCCACAUUCCUCAAAAAUCAAACAAACAAAACAUCCCAGCAAGGUCACGGUCACAUUGACAUCUCUGGGUCCACUGGCAUAACCAUGUGAUUGUUCUUGUUUGGGGCAUUUCUAGUGUCAUUUCUGUAGCUGUGAUAAAAUACCUAGCAGAAUCAAUUUAGGAACCAUGGAGUUUAUUUUGUAUUACACUUCUUGAUUAAAGACCAUCAUUGUAAGGGAGUAAAGGCCUGAUUUUCAAGCAGCUAAUUACACCACAUUCCUAGUCAAGAACAGAGAGAAAUGGCUGCACCCAUGCUGCCAGCUUGCUCGACCUAGCUCUCCCCUGUCCUUUGGAGAUCAGGACAACGUGUGCAGGGAAUGGUGCCACCCACAACGGUCUACAUCUUCUCACUUGAUUAGGAAUUCAGACAGUGGUCCCAUAGGCCAAUUGACCUAGGUAGCCCUUCAACAGACACUACCUUGUGUGUGACUCUAGGCCAGUGGUUCUCAACCUUCAUAAUGCUGUGACCCGUUAAUACAGUUCUUCGUGUUGUGGUGACCCACCCCCAACCAAAAAAUUAAUUUUGGUACUACUUUAUAACUAUAAUUUUGCUACUGUUAUGAAUCAUAAUAUAAAUAUCUGUAUUUUCUGAUGGUGUUAGUCAACCUCAUCGAAAGAAUCAUUCAAAAACCGGAAGAGUCACAGGCCACAGGUUGAGAACCACUUGUCUAGACUGUCAAGGUGACAAAACUAGCCAUCACAUGUAGAGGGCAUUCAGGUCAGUUCCAGCUCAGGGCUCUCUGAGCCAUGUUAUUUUCAGCAACAGAAACUUACUCUCUACCUCUAGGGGAUGGCGGAGAGUGGUCGCGGACAUCAGAAAUAAGCUGUACAUGUUGGAUCUCUCUUAGAUAAUUCCCACCAGUACUUAAAAGAGAGCUUUUAUGUGUAAGAAGGUGAGAUAUUUUUUGGUUGGUCCUUUGCUCUUGGAGGGACCACCAUCAGCCCAG